UUUUUACCUGAAGGAAUGGCUACCUGGCAGGUUCUCCAAUGUGACAGAGGUACUGACUCCCUGGUCCUGGGUGCAUUCAGCAGCUGUUGUUACGAAGAAUGCCACUCUUUGCUCACAGCCAUAAUCACCUGUCAUUGACAAAGUUGUCACACAGAGUGUCUUGGCACGAGAGGGGCCUCUGCCAUCAGUUUGCAGUCCCCACUUCUGAACAUUACAGAAGAACUCUUGAAGGGAAUAUCUACAUCCAGUGGCACCUUUUCUUCUGGUGUGCCACCACGAUAAAACUUGGUGCUUGACCUAUACGUUUCAGAUCAUUCUUUGCUGAAAUUGAAACCAACUCAGGAAGUGUAUUUUGUCUCCUUGCAUCUCCUCACAGAAGUUCAUGGAAAAUAUUUCAGCCGGAUCAACUCCUUCAUCAGGUUUAACUUGUGGUUGCCUAGUAGCUGGAUUUACACUGUGAAGAGGCUGCAAAAAAGAGCAUCUAAGCCAUGAUAAUAUGGGUUGCUUCAUCUGGCACUUCUGGAAAACCAAAAGCAGAGCCAUAAUUUAUGCCGUGGCAUGAAAUGCUGUAUUCAACUUCUGCACAAGUGUUUUGGAAAAGAUAUUCUUCAUUAGACCUAACUCCGUGGCAUGGUGUGACUUUUUCCUAUUUCCCAAGUUGCCACUAUCUUAAGCAGUCUGGUGGAGUGCAGCUGUGGCACACUAGUUUUUCCUUGCAGUGAUGAGUGCCUCAAGUGAGGGGGUGACUCGCUUCCUACUCUGUGCAAUCCUGAAAAUGUGGAACUCAUUCCCUCUGGAGUUAUGAAAUGUGGACAGAUUCCUCUUUUUUACAGUGGAAAAGCAUGAAAUCAUAGCCACAUUGGCUGGAGUUAUUAUUCAUUUAACAGUUAAACUUCCAUUAUGUUUUACUGUUUGCUACAUGCCAUUUUUAUGUGCUUCAGUUUUAUACAUUUUGGAGUUAACUAUUUGAAAGGAGAAAGAAGUGAUUUACCAGGACUGUGCCUUUCUCCCUACUAAUUCUGUGCUUUUCUUGUUGCUAGGAUGAUAUUUGUUUCACAUUGCAUGUGGGCAUGUAUUAAAACAUAAAUAUAUUAAAUUUUACUGUCCGAUUCAUAGAGACUCCUAGAUGAAAGAAGACUCUUCAUGUGCUGUGAUAUAUCAUCCCUAUAUGUGGGUAUAACCAGAGCUUAGUUUUAUGCUUCAUGGUGAAGUUCUCUGCACAAGUCCUGUUCUGAAGGAAGCUGUACAAAAGCAGUUUUUUCUGGAAGCUACCACGUCGUGGAAUUGUGCCUUCUGGGUCAGAGAUGAAAGGAGCUGGCCAGUAAGUCUGAAGCUGAAACAUUUUUUUCCAAAGGACAUCUUUGGUUGCUGAUGGAUUUUUGAAGAGUCUGAGUCAAAAAGUACUCUAUUUUCCUACUGACCUCUUUUUCAUGAAUCAUGAAAUAAAGCACAGUCUGUGAUUUUCAUCUCUCAGUGUACCCUGAAGAGCGUAGGUGUAUGUGUUUGUCCUAAAUUUGUUCAUGGACUAGUCAAAACUGACAAAUUAUGAGUCAUGUGAGACUGGCCACGUGCUUGUUUUUGGAUGGUUGAAAUUAUAAAGGAAAAAUAAUGCCGAUAUCUUAAUAUUAUGUGACCUCUGAAUAUUGUCAACAUAAUUAGAAAUUCUUCUGGUAAUAAUCUUAGUAGUCCACAGGAGAGUAAGCAUUAUCAUAUCAGUUCAGUGGUUCUCCUUCUGCAGUAUGACAACUUCAUUAUUACAAUGUUUGUUGUUGAAAUCAUUCCAAAAUCUUGAGGUCUUGAAGAGAUGAGAGAAACAGGGGAAGUGCAUGCCCUGAUAGUAACUUUUCUAUGCUAUAAGUUUAGGAGGUAGUUUAUUUUUACAUUCCAAUGCAAUACAUUAUUAUUAUUAUUAUUAUUAUUAUUAUUAUUAUUAUUAUUAUUAUUAUUAUUAUUAUUAUUAUUAUUAUUAUCAUAUCUCAGCAGUGGCAAACACUGUCCUGGGGAGGAGAAAACGUUGCAGAAGGCUUCAGCUGAGUGUGAAUGGUUUAGUCAAUGUAUAGUCUGCUGGACUUUGCUUAAGCAAAAAGCAAUCAUUCUCCUUGUAAAUGUAAGAACACAGAGAAAGAAGAAAAUUUGCCAAGUAAGAAAGCAUUAUGGGCCGUUAGCAAAUUAAGGAAUGUAUAUCCUCUCCUGUGAACUUAUUGCUGCACAUAAAGAUGUGAAACUGUUCUGCUCUUGCAUUGAGGUAUUAGCCAACAUGAGGUGACCACUGGGUAGAGGGUUCAGAAAUGUUCAAGAGAUGAAAAUUCCCUGCGAUGUAUUUUAUAUGGUAAAAACAUACAGGUUUUGUUGUUGUUGUUUGUUUGUUUGUUUGUUUUCUCAUGGAUGUUGCAAUGCAGUCAAACCCAAUAAGUCAAAUAUAAUUUUUCUACUGGGGAAGAAUACAAGCAAAAUUACUCACAUAGUGAUAAUGACUGCCAUUCUUUAUGUUAUAUGCUGAAAAGACACCAUUAGGAGGGGCUGAGAUGUGAUGACCAUACAGAUCUUUAUAGAGGACCAAAAAGGAAUUUCUGGGAGAUGUGUAUCAGCCCUUGAAAUACGUUCUGCAUAUGACCCUGAGUCCAUCUGUGGUUGUGAAUAGGUUGGUAAGGCCUUAGUCUUCUACCCAGUAGCUUGGCUUGCACACCAGAAACAUUAAAAUCUUUGAGCUUGAUACUGUUAUUCAGCAUCUGUAGCACCAUUCUCAUUGAUUUUAUAAUUCUAUAUUAUUUUCUAAUGACUGCAUUCACAGUGGGUGAAGAAUGGGCAUGGACCCUUUGCUGGCUCUAAUGGAAGCCAUUGCUCUUGGUGGCAGGCAUAAAAUGGGCAAAUCUGCCUGUUUGAGUUGUGGAUAGGUAAGUUGAUUCAGCUGCUACUGGUGCUGUAGGCAUUUCACCAUUAAAAAUGUUAUGCGUCUCUUGAUUUGUCCACUAAGCCAACUUUGUAAUUCUAAAAGCAAAGCCAGUUACUAUGGCGUUUCACUUACUAAGCUUUUUCAUUGGUGUACUUUUCAUUGACACUCUUUAGCUAAGGCAAAGGUUAUUAUUUUUAUAAUUAUCCCUAACUAAUUUUGCAUAUGGGAAGUGUAUAACAAAGAAUAAGUCCUUCAACAUCUUUGCUGUAGAAUUAACCCUGUAAAAAAUAAUUCUUGAAAGAUAGUCUAAUAUUCCUUUGUCCUUGCAGUCUUAAAGUAUUAUCAAAAUUAAAGUAAAACCAAAAUCAAUUUAUAGAUGAAAAUCCUAGGAAUCUGCCUGGUCCCUAGUACUUAACAAGAUCUUAAUUUUCAAAGAUUAAAGCUGUGAUACUGAGGCAGCGGCCUCUCUUGGAAACCAGUGCUUUUUGUUUGGAAGAUACUAGGCUUAUCUCUGGAUAUGUGGUUUUAAAUCUCAGCACUGUUCAAUGCCUCCAACUCUGCUGCAAGCUCAGUAAGCAGUGGAAGGAGUUUGCAGGGCCAAAGGAGAUAUGUGUACGCUCUGAAGUUGGAAGGCACCUUACCGUUUGACAAAUGGGCAGAAGAGUGGUAAAAGAGAAAAGUUAAGGACAAAUCAGCAUCACAAAGUGUAUUCUUCCUUAUGAUUUGCAGCUUUCUGGUGUUUUGGUUUCUAAACCAAAACAUCAGGUUAUUAAUUAUUAGAACAUGAAACAAACAAAUGCAGUGUAGGAUCUAAGUCUUAGCUAAGGCUCAGCUGUGGGCAGGAAUUCAUUUCUUCCUGAGGAGAUUUUGUCCAGUGAAAUUGAGGUUUUAUUGGAACUACUCCAGAAAUGCCACGCUGGAUAUUGACAACUUAGAAAACAUAGCAAUUCUGACACCUGAGGGGGAAUAGUUCAGAUGCUUGUUUUAAUAAAAUAUAAAUAAUGUUAAAAUCUUAAUAAAAUCAAGCUGAGAUACUGAUUCCAUUGCUUAAAUAUAGCAUUUUUAGGAUUCAAAUGAAAGGAAGAGGAAAAAGUAUUGUUUCUCCUGUCUCCCUUCACUAUACCUGUUCUUGGGUAUCUUGCUAGAUGUCAUUCAGUAAAGGAGUCAAGCCAGGCCCUCCAGGCAAUUUGUGACAGCAGAAAAGAGGGUUAACUUCCAGAAGAUUUUUGUCUGUGUACUGCAAGGUCCUGGGCUAUACAUGUACCUGCACUGCAAGUACAGGUGGGAUUGAAGUGCUGGAGGCACCACAGUGAAGUCUGUGCUGCUAUGUCCUCAUUGUUAGAAUUGUUUCUACUAACUGCCAGUGUAAGAACAGACAGUGGAGUUUGCUCUCCUUUCAGCAAUCGGAUCUUUGGGUAUGCACUUUUAGAUUUCUAAAAUCUAGGUAUCAGCAGUAAAGGGAAACAAAACAAAACAAAAACUUAAAAAAAGUAAACAAACACAAGUUUCCUUCUUUCUUGUGCAGCUUGGGGAAAGACCUGAAUUCACAUUGUUUGCCUGCAGUUCUGCCAAACCAGCAUUAUGUGCUGGCAUUUGCAAGAGCUUUAGGCAUCUGUUGUUGGUUCCAGGAUUUUCAAAUGGGCUUACGUAGGACAGCUAAAUAAGAUUCAGGUUUUUAAAAAUGAGUUGUAACCCUUAAUUUCCAGUGUGGUGUUCAUUGCCACAUCUUUAAACCAAAUCUCUUGAAAACCUUUAUUCUCAACAAGUAUUUCAAGUAGGGGCAGAGCAUUCUGAGGAUGGUUGCCUGUACUAAACUCAAAAUUCAGGACAGUAUGUCUCAAAAAGAAAGCAAGAGCAACACCUUCCAAGCAGAACCUUUCACAUACAGUAGGAAGUGCUGGUUGUCCCAGUUGCAUGUGCUAACAGUUACAUCUUGAUGCCUGGAGUAGUUCAUCGCUGUUUGCUGCCAAGCAUUUGUUAUUGCUGAAGAAGCCCUUCUGGCCCAGCCAAUAACAUUUUUGUGCCAUAUGAGUAUCUCUACUUUCAUAUAAGUGCAGCACCCCUUUAAAAUUCUCUUCAAAUCAAUGGCUAUUAGAAAACACUAAUUCUUCUCUCUAGGAUCAUCAGUUUCUUUAACAGUUGGUAUUUUUAAUCUGGGCAUUAUAUUCAGGAAUGUAAACAGUCUUUGCCAUAUAGAUUUUGUAAUAUAAGCCCUCUGUAAUGAUUUUAUCUUGUUUGCUUCCGAAUACUCAAGCCCACGUUGUCCUGUUUUGUGCCUCCCUCUUUCCUUGUGCCUUACCUGCUAGAUUGCCUCAGGUAGGUGAGAGUUGCCCCAGUUGCAGUUUAAUUUUGUAAAAUAGGUUUAUUCACUGUUUACCCUAAGCACUUUAAUGCUGCCUUUUUUUUUUUUUUCCUUUUUUUUUCCCCGGAUGGCUUUUUCUCUCCUACUCCUCUCUGAUUAGCAACAGAAAAUCUUCCUUUGUUCUUAAUUGUUGUCUGCUUAGGUUUCAAAAUGAAAAAUGGUAUCCUCUGUGAGAAUGCUUUAUUUAAAUGGAUAAACAUCAAAACCCAAACACCUUAAUGUUAUCCCUACAGCAAAUGUAAUAAAAAUCUCCUUCACUGUGAACUUCGCUUCUGCACAGAAAGAAAGAGCCCAAUACCAAAAAGAGCGUACAAGAAGUAUGUAAAGAACUCCCUCAGUUCAUCACAUUUCUUGCAUCAGUUUAUAUACAAUACUUCUUCUGUUGACCAGAAAUCACUUCACAAGAAACUCUGCAUCUAAGCAGAAGGAAAGAAAAUGAGAGCUUUCGGUUUGACCAGUCUAUAAUCUACGGAGGGUGUAUGAUAAGAGGGUUUUCUUGGUAUUAACAGUAUCUGAACAUAAAUUUAACAGCAGAAUCAAACAUGAGGAUUUGAGUCCGUGGUUUGAGGACCUGGUAGUUGGACACAAAUUUGGUUUGUAUUCAGUUUGAUCAUCUCAGCUUGCAAGAAACUCCAUAGACAGGAAGCCACCAAAUACUCUUUUUUUAGCACCUGUUUUGUUUAGUAGAAUUGCACUUGUAAGAUCUCAGUGCUUGUUUCAUACCCUGUCUGUCUUUUUUUGCUGUCCUAAGUGAUCAAGAGACCAGCUGGGGAGUCUUGUUUACAUAAAAAUGGGGAAAACUUGCAAAGGUUAACUAAGACAUUUUUUAAUGAUUGAUAUUUAUAAACAGUAGAAGAUAAUGGGUGAGGACAGUUUUGAGUCUGUGUUCAAUUGCCAUACAAAACAAGUUGUUAAUGAGCAGCAAAGCUAAUGAGUCCUGAUUUCAUAAAGGUUUGUAUCCAAUAUUAUCUGGACAUACACAUGCAGUGGUCCCUCACAGCUCCCUCCCACCACAUUUUCCCUUUUUCAGUUUACCCAUAUUGUUCCAGCACUGCAAAACCCACAGCUUAUCCUCAAAAUUCUGCAUGGCCAUUCUGCCCUCUCACCUGCUUUUUCUCAUACCAAUAUCCUACCACUUUGCUCCUUUUCAACAUCUGAUGAUCUGUUUUGCACUACCAUCUAAGUGAGAGAUGGCAUAUGCUAUAGCUUAUCUGGAAACUAUCACUUGCCAACUGGCUUAUUGGUGAGUGUCAUGCAGAAUAAAAAAUACCCAGAUUUGCUUUUCUUGGGGAGUUAAUAGGGUCUCUGCUGUAUCAGCUGUUAAUUUUUAUGAAAUAUAUUACAACUUUGAGACCUUGAUUCCACCUCUCAAUUUGAAUGAGCUGAACCAGGAGGUUCAAAAGAAGAGUGGGAAUAGGAGUAUGGAUGGACUGGUAGUGUUUUUUUCUGGAAACAAGCCAAAAAAUACUGCAUGGUUGGAAGUGUCCUGUUUAGGUUAAAAAAUAUGUAUGUGUGCUUGAACUCAAACAUGUAUUUGAGCUGUCUUAUGGAAGAACUGAUGGCUAAACCCUGUCAAAGAAUCUCAGGCCCUUUACUAGAACACAGGAGAACUUAGGGAAGGUUGUUGGAAGAGACUUGUCCCCAGGACCAUUUCUGAGUCGUAAGUGAAUCCUGCAUGGAUGCCUUUUUCUUACCUUUUGCAACAACAAAAUAUAAGGAACUCUGAUUUCAUCUCCACUGGCUUGUUGUAAAUUAAGUCCUUCUCUUACAGGGAAUCCAUAUGGUAGGCUCAUACUUUGUGAAAUAAACUUUGAGUUGUUGGGAAAUAUGACAUGAUAGGAAGUACUUGCUCCCUUAGUAAGUAUUCAGACGUGGUCUUCAAGGUUGAAGCAAAGGCAUAUGAGCAAACUGGGUUACCUCUUGGCCAGUGCAUUGUAGUUUUGCAAGAGUUAGUGCUUUCACUAGCAUUGUGAUAGAUAUGGGUUAAGAAGUUUGCUGAUGAACUUGGGAAAUUUUACAAUAAAUGAGGUUAUUUAGUCCAACAGAGAUUAAAUACUUUUCAUUCUUUGCUUUAAAUGAAGCAAAAUCAGUGUGAAAAAUAUAAUUUUGAGUGAUGGAUCCCAUAGUGCUUAAUAACCACUUAAGUUUAGCAAGAAAAAAAAUAUUUUUUCCUCCUAAAGGAUUAGAUUCUUGAGAUACUCAUCAGUAAGUGCAAGCAUAUUACAUCGUUGUCUUUUGAGAAUAACUAUUAAUUUUUUUUGCUGCUCCAUUCUGUAAAAUGCUCUCUGAGAACGAACCAGUUCCCUGAAUUAAAUCUUAUUUUCUCUGACCUUUUUCCUGCUAAGGCACCCUAUAAACUACAGAAUAGAUUUAAACAGAACAGAAGAAACAAAAAGCUCCACUUUUUUUUAACUCACAUAAAAUAAAAUCCAUGACUUGCUGUUUACAUGGCAGUCAGAAAUCUCAUUUCUUAUUAUCAGCCAGUUUCUAAGUGAACUGACAUUUCUGUGGUGCAAAUAACAUUAAAAAAAAUGCUAUCAGGAUUUUCCCUUGGCAUCCAUGAGAUAAACAGUUAGCUGUGUGUUGACAAACAUAGCGUGCACAGUUGCAAAGCUGUUAAUUGCAUCACUGCAUUGGUCUGUAGUAGUUUAAGGCUAUCCUGUGUGUGUCGUUUUGCUAGAUUUGUUAAUGAAGAGGCAUCAGUGGGCUUCUUCAUUUGUUUCCUUCUCAUUUCUUAUGGUAUCACCUGAGCCUUCUGCAUCUGGGAGUGUUUAUUGCAUGGAAUCUGGCACUAAUUUUUGGAGGCACUGUAUGUUAGGAAUCCAUAUGCAUGGCAGAUGACUCUCAGACAGGAGGGAGCUUUAUAUUUCAGUGCAUUGAAAGAGAUGCUUGGCUACAGACUUCCUAGUAGUUUGGCGUUUCCACAGCAGUAAAAGGAAACAGAAAACCGUGUUGGCAUGAAGCACAGGUUACAUGCCAUUUCUGUUGGGUUUCUAUAUGGAAUAAUGAAAUAGUCUAUCAGAGAAGGGAGUGAGUGAGACUUCAGUCUGGCAGCUUCUUAUUCACAGAUAGUUUGCAUCCUUAUUGAUGUUUUGAUGACUGUUGGAAUGGUUCACCAUAAGAGGGAUGUUUUUUCUCUGUCUUACAGUCUUAAGAUUAAGUUGUGCUCCAGCUCAGACAAGCCUGCUGUGUGGGUACCUGUCAUGCACGUAAUAGGCAGCUCUGUUCAGCUGCUAAAAUGGCAUGGUCAAGAUUCAGCUCUAAAUGAAUUAAUCAUUGUUUACUGCAAUGAAUAGUCAUUUCAAUCAGCCAUACAUUCAAGGAGAUACAGAUGUAUGCUGCAAGAUGCAAACCUGUAUAUAUAUUAUACUCAGUAUAAUGAUGUUCAGAUACUGUGGUUUAUAUUUACAUGUUGACAACAAUGUGGUCCGCAUCGCAGGAGUCAUCAGGAGUCUGCAGCCUGCUUUAAACUAGCCAUAAACCUCAGCCCUGGAAAUACUUUAAAUAUAUUAAGAAAUUUAAUGGCUACGCUGCGUGAGCCUGUCAUUGUUUGAAGGAAAGUUCAGAAUCUUACUCAGAAGUCACUGAAGUGAAUGGGAAGCCCAAGACCUUCAUCGGCAGUGACUUCUUGUUCUAUCUGCAGUGAUAGCUAGUGAUAGAUAUUUGUGGUCUUGUGAAAUUUGUUUGAAGCUUUAAGAUGUUUUCCUAAUGAUAGAGUAUCCACAUCAUGGAAAUCACCCAUUGUGUUUGGCAGUUGGAAGAGAGAAAAAGAGACAGAUAACUGGGCUUGUAAUGUUAUCUACCCUCCCUCCCCUCCUUGUCUGGUGAAUGUAGCGUAGGGUACAGCAGCAGCAAGGGUCAAGUUCAUGCUGUCACAUUGCAAGGCGCCAGGUUUCAGAGGUGUAAAUCUGCCAAGUUUUAUAAGCAUCAGCUUGAACUUUAAAGCGCCUUCAGGCAUGAGGAACUUAAUAUUAUGAUCUGUCUUUAAAAAAAUGCAAAUAAAGAACUGCAUGUUCUUUUUUGGUGGUAAGCAUCUCCAGACAUAAUUUUGUUUAGGAUGUAGUUACUGAACUAAUCCCCCUGCUGAUACCAGGGAUGUUAACAAUGCCAAGGAUGUUGUCUCUAGACAAAAUCUACAUCAAGGUUUUUUUGACUGAACGUAGCUGUGUUGCCAUCUGCAUAGAAGUGCCACUCUAAGGUUGCUUUAUUUUAAAUUACAUCUUGUUAAUGUGUCCUUGUAAGCUGAACACAUCAAACAGGUACAAAACAGGUGUUGUCUCUUCCCCCAUAGUAUCUUUAUCAUCUUUUGCUAGCAAUGGAUUUCACGAUAAUACUGGGGGGGGCUGUAUUAGAAAUCAAACUUUUAAUGUUUUAUCCAGCAGCAGAGUAAGAUUUGAUCAACAUGUGCUAGACUUCAAAAUAUUUAAUCUGUUUAUUAAACCAGUUGUUUGGAGUUGUAGUUUUAGAAUGAAGAGCUAUCUAAAACACACUGAAAGGAAAUGGAAUGUGGUCCAGAAUGGUAGUUCCUUCAUACAUCUAUCCAUUGGGUGUCACUCUUCCCUGUUUGAUUUAUAUCUUGUAGAAGACAUUGUUAGAAAAACUGACAGAUUUCACCUUGCUCAGCUCUUAAAAAGGAAAUGUUUUUUUCUUGGGUGCGUGCUGUUGAGUAAUGUUGAUUUGAAUAUCUAGUACUAGGAAUAGUAAAAUAAAUCAGAAUCAUAGUGAAAGUAGAAGAAAUCAUGACCAGCUAUUGCUUCCUACCAGUCAGUUCCAUUAAUCUUCCCAAGGACAGAACCCCUCAUGUCAGUUCUUAUUGAAUUUUGCAUCAGAAAAUAAGACUAGAUGUGCUAGUUUGGGAAGGGAUGAUAUUCCAUAGCUGUGCAGUUAGAUCUGAAUAAUCAGACAAGAGCUUUCAGCAGCUCUCUCAUUUGAUUCCCAUGAAAAUAUGGAUCCUUUAAUGGUUACGUAUUAAAGUCACAAUUCUUUGUUUAAAAGCCCAGACUGCCUGAAGUCAAAAACAAAGGACUUAAAACACUGGUUUCACUGCACAGUUUGGGAUAUAUUGAGACUCUCCACAAUCAACUUUAAACUAGUAGCACCUUAGCUUUUUGUUUUCUUUUGUGUAAGAAAAUACAGAUAUUUGAAAAUACAAGAAGAGACUUCUCAUUUUUUAAUGCAAUGAAAGCUUAUGUGAAGUUUGGAGAAAUAGCUAGAUAAGCAUACCAUUCUGAGAAUCCUUGGUGAGAAAAAAAAAAAAAAAAGAAGCUAUACUUUAAUCCCCACUUUCUACAUUGUUGACACAAAAAUAUCACCUACAAAGAUCAGAUAGCAGAGCUACUACGAUGUACAAUUCCAGAAUGUUUAGCAUGCAGUGUGUUGCUAGCUAUAGUCAGAUAACAGUUCUUCUUUUAAAAGUUCUUUUGUUGUUGUCAGUGGUUGUGUUUUUAAUCAAAAAGAACUGGCAUUUAUCCAAACCUCGCAGCAAGAAUGUUUCUGUACGAGAUGAAGAGGGGAGAAAGGCUCUUCAUCUGCGUGUUUUUUUGUUUGUUUGUUUGUUUCUGUAUGUUUGGAAAUAUUAUUGAAAUAAGACAGUUAAUGUCAUUGUCUGCAUGUAGGCUGUCUGACUGUGGUAGCUCUGAAUCAGAGCUAGGACAAAAAAAGCUGUGCCAGGGCUAUAGAGAAAAUCCAAUUUUUAAUUUUUUAUGCUCCAUGCCAGGCAUAUUAAAAUAAAUAUAUACAAAAAUAUGGAAAUUAGUUCUUUUACAAAAAGAGUUGUUGAGUGACUUCUCCCUUCAGGAAAAAAAAAAAGAAUAUCAGCUCUUAGACCUAGACAAUACGCUAUUCGGGUUAUCUCACAUGAUUGUUCCAGCAAUCUUGCCUUGUUCUCAAGAUACACAUAUAGGAAAUGAUGUUGCAGCCUCUUUGCUAGAGAAUAUACUAGGCCUAGACUAUACUGAAUAUUAGUAAAGAAGAUAGGUGAAGUUACAGUCCUGAAAGAUGAAAAUUCAUGCAAGUCUUAAGUUCAAAGAAGCUAAUAAGGCCCUUCCAAGGCCUGUGUGAAUGACACAGAUGUUAUCAUAAGAAAACCUGAAGGGAAAGGUAAAUAGUUAUCUUCAUUAGGAAAUGUUAGUCCAAAAAAUAUGAGAGAAUCUAUGAUCAUUUCUUCACUGGUAAAUCCCGGUGAUGUUCCUUGUAUGGUGUAUGUGGAUACAUGUUUAAAAAAGAAAACCUCCAUAAAAAAACCUUCUGCUGUAGUACUGUGCUGUUUGAUAAAUGUGACUCUUGUCAUUCCUUGUAGCAAUGCAUAGAUCCACCCAAUCAUGAAACCUCACUAAAUAAUAUGUGACCAGUUUCAGCAAAUCUUAAUUUAAGUUUCUAAAUGUUUCACAACAACAGUCAUUCAUGAUGUUCUGGGUGUUCAGGCUGCCUCAUGGAAAAUGCAAUUCUAAAGCUUUUGGCAAAUUUCAAGCUAUUUUUAUUUUUGUUAUAUAUAUAUUAUAAAGCUAUAAUUUAGGAAUUCACUCUGGAUUAGACUUACAUAAAUCUAUUCAGUGAGAAAUCAUUCUGGAAAUUACUGGUGAACAGGAUUUCGAACAAUUCCUGGUUUUGACAGACUUGGAAGCAUAACAGGAGUAGCCUUUCUGGUUUCCUAAAUUCCAUUGGACUUCAAAAGAGCUUUUUGCCAUUUUGGUUUGGCUUUUCUGGCUGACGUGGGUUCCAGCUGUUAAAUUAUUUGAACUCUGUGUACAUCUUCAGGAUUGAUGCUGUUGUAGAGAGCUUGGAGGAUUUAUGUGCAAAUUGAUCUCUUCUUAUCCUUUCAAUUCAAUAACACUAAUAUUAUAUUUAGUAGCUAUGUAGCAGUCUCACAAAGGUCUCUUUGAGUUUGGUAGAAGUCUCUCCAUUUAUAGGCAGAUAAGUGAGGUGCACAAAUUUAAUGACCUGUCCAAGGUCGCCUAGCCUAUAGUGAAAACAGCCUUUCCUGACGCCCUGUCCCUAUUGCAGCAGCCAUAAAGCAAAACAUGUUGAAUGGAGUCUUUAUAUACAUGAAAAGAUUAUCUGUAACCUGUAUUAUUUCUAGAACUAUGAAGCACAAGAUACUGUAUGAAUGAACGUGUGACUAUUUAGGCACAACUCCGUUGUCGUUAUAGUGGCAGCUAUUGAAUGUUUUCAAAUGGGAGGAGCACGUGGAUGAAAAAUACAUUUAGAAAAGUGUCUUCUGUGCAACUUCAGUACUGCACUGUGGAUACCAGUAUCAUUUUUAAUGUGUACACUAAUUUGCAUACAAAUUUUAAGGGACUCUAUCCAUUUCUGAAACAGCUAGAGAGGGAAGAACUGGAGAGCCCUGGACAGAGUGGGAAGAGUUUAUGGAGAAAAGGAGGAGAGAGGCUGCAGAGGAGGCUGGAGAGCUCCAGGGGAAUUCCAGCUGGCCUGUGUCCUCCCCUUCCCAGCUUUUCUGUCUCCCUCUUGAAAAGUCCUUUCUUCUCAGGCAGCCAUGAGAAGUGUAGUAUUUUCUUCCCAGUACACAGGAUGGGAAGUUGGGCAAGGACAGCUUGAAAAGAAAGUGGUGCAGAGGGUCAUUUGCUUUGUUUGUUUGUUUGUUUGUUGUUUGUUUAUUUGUUUGACAUUUUAAGUAGUCAUACGUUGGUAACUGAUGUUUUAGAAGCUUAAGGCCAGCCAUGGGUUAUGUGAGUGUAGGUGCGAGCAGAAGGCAGGGAACAGUGCUAGUACAAAAAAGAAGUCAGAGCCUAUCCUAAAAAAUGUGGUAACUGCUAAUCUAUAGAAGCUGUCUGUUCUGGCUUGGGGUGAGUGGAUAAGCAUUUAAGUCUAAGCAAACUAAAUAUUGUUUCCUUAGGAAAGUUUGUUUAACUAAUACACUUAAUUUGCCAAUAGUUAUCUUUACAUCAGAGUUGUAGUCCUUUGUCUGAUUGUUUCAAGAUGUAUUUUUUUCCAGCAAGGACUCUGAAAUCUCAGGAGAAUUCCUCUACACAUCUGGUCUGGCUUCACUAGAGAAAAUGGAAGAAAUAUAAGAAAUGUCAAUAGACGGAAUCAGAGUGCAAAAAUCUUCUGCCUCAGGAUUUCAGGAAAUGUUUCUCACUGGUGGGAAGGGAAGAGUGCGUGGAGAGAGAAGGCGAUAAUCCUCCGUGGCUUCAGUCAGCUGCUGCGAAGGGGCACUGCUACUGGCAUCAUCCCAGGCCCUGCACAGGAGUUGUCUUGUGUCCUUCCACAGCAAGUAACCUUUGGUUUCUGCCUUUCUUGUGAGAAGAGCAAAUGUGGCCAGAUUAUCUCUGCUUUCUUUUGUUCUGAGUUGAUGGAGGCAUUAGAGCUUUUCUUUUAAAUGAUUAAAGUAGAAGAAGAAAUCGUUGCUGACGAUAGAAAUGAGAGAAAGUCAAAUGUGUCUUGUGUUAAGGAAAGAGGUAGGAGCAGCAAAGCUGCCUCAGCAACUCUAGGCAGUGUUGAUCUAUAGUGUACUGUUGUAUUGAUUGUGCUAUCUUUGUCUUCUGACUGGCUUGGGCUGUCUUCCUUUAGUUUAUGGCAAUACAAAAAUAUAUGCACUGUGAUAUAAAAAGUGAUUUACCAGUGCACGAGAACAUGUGUAGUAAUAGUGAUCUCAGUCGGGGUGGAGGAAGCCAGUAGAUCUGGGAAAGAAAAAAAAAAUAAUCCAGAAUUUACUGAAGUUAAGUGGAUUGAAUCCAAAUUCAGCUAUCAGAGUAACUCAAAAUACAGAGGGCCUUGGUAGGAAAAGAAAGGAGGGGAAUUGCUCUCAAUAUUGUUUCUCUUUGAAUUUUUACCAGUGGAAUUCAACCUAGUUUUGCAGAGCUAAUGCAAGGAUAUCUGAAAUAAUCACCAAAAUGGGAAGGAAAACAAAGAUGUAGGGUACAGCAGGAGCAGUCAGGAAUCCAUUCAUUGACAGUGUGAAACCAAAACUGACAGAAAUUACUAUCUUUUAUCUGAGUUCUCCAGUAUAUUAACAUACAGCUCUGUGUGUUCAUGAUUGCAAGUGAACCUCGACAAGAGUUGCUUUUGUUUAGUUAGGAGAGUGAAUCAUUAAAAGCAUAAACACUGAAAUCUUUAUAGAAAUAGCAAUCCCAAUGCCAACCUCCUUUUGCUGUUGUAGAAGUGCUUAGUUAAUAGAAACUGUGACAGUGCUCUGAAUCUUUAAGCAAUGCCCAGUUUGAAUGACAGGAUGUUUUCAUUAAAUAUUCUACUCACUCUGGAUAAGGUUGCAACUAAACAUAAUAUAUGACUAAGAACAAGUGAGCCCUUUCCAGUCUGAUGAGAAUGAAAGUAGUCUGCUACUGAUAUACAUAAUACACUAAUUCAAUAGGCCAGUGCUGCCAUAAGCAGACCCUGAGAAAAGUAUUGCAAAUUUCAGAGUUUUCAGGUAUCAGGGUUCAGUAGUGCCUGUGUUUGUUUUGUCUUCUCUAAUUUCUUUUAGUCUGGAGUUGCUGAGACAAUGUCUGUGUUUUAGUGGAAUCUGAAUGAAGUCAGAUGUUGAAGACUUAAGAAAACCCUGCCCAUGAGUUACAAAUAAUGCUGUAGGGGCCAUUCAGAAAACUUACAUUAAGUUUUAAUAUUUCCAGUAGAAAUCAUUUCGGAAGUAACACUUCUCUCCAUCAUAAUUUUUUGUGUUUCUUGGGCUUUUUCUUUUCAUCUCCUCAUUUUGAUUCUUCUUUUCUAAUUAAAUGUCUCUGCCUUUUCAUAUUUCACUCCCUGAUGUUUCUGUUCCCUUUGAUAUUCUCUGCUCUUAAACACCCUUCAAAGAGAAACAUGAAAAUUUAGUUGUUAGUACUGUAAUGAUUUUUAGUAGCAUGGUUUCAGAUCUUAAACUUGAAGAUUUGCAUUGCUUUACUCCUGUUGAUAAGUUCUUUCUGAUUUUCUGCAUUGAUCACAAGGUAACUGAUUAUUUAGCAUAACUGUGGAAUUGGGUGUUAAAUUUUUUUCAUUCAUCUUGUCGUAGCUGAACUGGACAAAGUCCUGAGCAACUGACUCUAGAUGAUUCUACAUGGAGCUGGACUAGAGGCUGGAAGGGACCUCUAGAGAUCUUGACUCUGCUGUGAUUUUGUGAUGAUCUAAUUUUCCACUCAGCUCUUCAGCUUACUAAGAUAAUUUUCUUUUCUGAAAACUGACAUUAAAAAACAGAUUUCUCUGCCAUUGACCUCCACAAAAGUCAGCAUUGAAUGCACGCUUUUUCAUCCAAGCACAUCCCUCCUUAGCCAAACUUUUCAAGAUUUAUUGUCAGUUAAAUGUUUGGUCAAAUUCUUCACUGAUUGCUUUUGGUCAGUGUGCAUUCUUAAUAUAUCCAGAGUAAACUCCACAGUCUUAUCAUUUCAGCACACCUCCCCAUCAUCCUAAUAGGAAGACCCAGCUGAAAGAUGAUGCUUUGACAGUAUAUAAAAGAUAUUUUCAUUAGGAUAAUAUAUACCCUCCUUCAAAUGUUUACAUUUUUGUUAUAUUAAUGCAAGUUUUGGGGCUUGUUGUUUUAACAAAUGCUUUUUUUUUUUUUUUCUUUCUCCUUAAAAUCAAUACGAUGUCUAUAUGGUGUGUUUUUUUUUUAAAUAUUUUAAGAUGUGAGACCUAUACAGAUCCAACUUGAGUCUCAUUAAAAGAAUUUAGCCAAAAAUUGAAAGCCUAAAGAGGCCUAUUACUGUGAAUUAUAGAAAUUAGAAGCAUGAAUUCUGUCUAACAGCUCAAACUGCUUCAGUUAAUCUGGAUUUUUCCCAAAACCUGCAAAAUUUUAAGGGCCACGUUCUGUCCAGGUAAAACACUGUCUUGGCUAAACAAUUAAUGUUGUUAAUAAGUACUCUGGUUUCAGGUUCUUUACAGUCCACAGCACCUCUGUCAAUAGCAGAAGUAUGAGGUUGGUCCAACACUGCCUACGCUUCUGUAGAAGCAGCGAUCGUAAGCACAGACAUAAAAUUGCUCAGAAGGUGCCAGUGUCUGUCACUGUUAUAAUGGCCAUUACAGAAGCAUCCAAAGGACCAGUGAUUAAGAACCCAAUGUUGUUAAACCUGUGCAUACUCAGGACAAGAAUUCUCUGCCUUGCUUCUGCAUGCCUGCUUACCAAGACAGAGAACAGCAAAGGAAAGCUAAUGCA